rnacentral:sRNA from 1 species
CCCACAUCCACCAAAACAAAGAAAAAAAGGAAGCCAAAGUUCGGGAACAAUUCCUAAAGUGAAAAAGACCUUAACAAAAAUUUCUGAUCUAAGAAACCAUUGGGACACCUUGGAAACCAACUAUAAUUUUCCAAAGAUCUCUAUCUGGACAAAACAUAUGUCUUGUUGAUUUUUUCGGUUCGUUCAAUUCUCAUUCACAAAAUAUCGGAUUGGUUCGUUCAACUAUACAUAUAUGCACUCUAUAUAGACUACAUACGUACGUACGCAUAUAUAGAUUGUCGAUUGACUCUUAAGUUCGGUGUAUAAUUUUUCUCUACUUCGGAAAGUGGAAACCUAUUUUCUACGAAUAUUUUCGCUAUACUCCACCAAGAUCGAAUCGUGGCUCGCUGAACGAGAAAUUAAGGUAUCAUCAGGAGUCAACGUUCUUCAAAAAAUUUUGAUUUAAAAGAAGAAGAAUGAAAAUAAUACAGCGACAAACUAAAGGAGAAAAGAACGAAUUUAAUCAAGAUUAAGGCGCUCACAAACUCAACAACAACAAAUCUACAGUAUUGAAGCAAACCAAACAAAUAAAACUAAAAAAUACAACAAAUAUUGAAUUUUCACAAAGAGAAAAUUCGCCAACAGAAUCCCAUUAAGAAAAGUUGUGGUCUGAUCAUAAAAAGAGUGAAUAUUUUUUAAGAACUACUCUCGCCCGGUUAUUGCUAAGAAAUAUCCGACAGAAAUACAAAGACAAACAAUAAUACCCUCCCCCGCCCCAAACACAAAAUAAACUAAAAGAUAAGCAAUUUUCAUAAAUGGUGUGUAUGUGCAUUUUAUAUAGAAAAUAAGUGUAAGACAACAAAACUAAGAAAACAUUUUUUAAAAGAAAACAAGUCGUAAAACUCCCCACAAAAAAGAAAAAAAAAAAUAUAAAAAUAUUGAUGUUUUAUAUAUUUACACAAGGAUAUAUGAGUGUUUAAGGAUUUUGAGCAAAGACUUUCGUAAUUAAUAAAAACAAAAAAGAGUUGUAUAAGCCCCAACAGGAUCUCACUCACUACCAGUACACCCUUAACACAGACACCCACACACACCCACACACGUUUACAACAAGAAGGACUUCCAACGAUUUUAAGCUAAUCCAAGACGACGAAAUUUUCUGUUGAAAAACCAACACGACAACUUUAAGAACUUUCUUCUUUUUAACAACAACAA